rnacentral:lncRNA from 1 species
UUUUUCUCUUUUCUCUCUCUCCUCCUUCUUCCCUUCUCUCCUCUUCCUCCUCCUCCUCCCCUCCUCUCCUCCUCCUCUUCCUCCUCCUCCUCCUUCACCACACAGGUCAGGAGAUACUCCUUAAAGCUUUGUCAUCAACAGUUGUUCAUUGUGUGUUGUCCUUAAGCUUCCAGGGCCUCCGCUGAAGUCUGGGAGGAAUCUUAGCUGGUAAAGUAUUGACUUUACCAGAUAUUUUCUUAGGUUUAACACUUCUCCAUAUUUUUAUUAAAAAUUCUGUUGCUGGGACCUGGAGAGAUAUAUCUGAGUGGUUAAGAACACUGGCUUGUCUUGCAGAGGACCUGGGUUCAGUUCCUAGCACAUGGUGGUUCACAAACAUCUUAAACUUGAGUUCCGGGUGUUGUGUUUUCUGGUGUCUGAAGCCAACACUUCAUACACAUGGCGAGGCAUGGAUGUACGAGCAGGCCAAGUACUCAUGGAUUUAAAAGAAAUCUUCAAAACAAUCCUAUAACCGGACAGACUGACGCUGAGUCCCACAAAAGGCCCCAAGGAAAACAACUUCACUGGGACCCUUCUGAACUUUGCUCUACGGGCUUUGAUCUCCAAAAUGUCGAGAUCUGAGUGUAGUAAGUGGGCCUUGGCUCCAAAAACCAGCCCAAGGAGGUUACCAUGGUUCUUUGUCAACAAACCACCUCAACACACUAUCAGUAUAAAUGGCUUUUGAUUAUCAUUCAAGAGGUGAGGUGGGUGACGUCAUCUACAGGGUGGCGAAGCCGUUGGCACUGGAGUGCUGUGUCAGCACAUCCUGAAAGCUUUGCCUUCAGGCUUUAAUACCAACUGAAACUCACUCUGAUUAAGCUGGCGCCAUUGCUCUACCAUUAUGUCUCUGAACCCUGCCAUGUUAGAGAUGACCCCACGCUCUAGUUCUGCCAGGUGUAGAGGCCUCUUUACGAGUGACUGGAGGAGAUCUCGUUCCCUGUCUGGCUAAUGCCACUUUAAGUGCACCCAGCCUGCCCUGUGACCUCCCCGGCUUGUCUACUUUAAUGGAUCUCUGGGCAGAAGCUAUAAAAGGAGGCUCUAUGCUUGGAGACUGCAUCUAAGAGAGUCGCAAGCAGACAUGAUUGAGAGGAGGCUUUUAGCUUCUACAGAAGGUCGUUCUUCGUAAAGUGGACCACUAAAGGCUUUCAAAAUAAACUACCUUGUAAAAUGACACAGGUUCAUAUAUCCUGACUUUUGGAGGGAUGACGGCCCAGUGUCAGUCGUGCAGUGUGGUGGGAAGCUAAAAGCCCAUUUAUCUAUCUAUCCAUCUAUCUAUCUAUCUAUCUAUCCAUCCAUCCAUCCAUCCAUCUAUCUAUCUAUCUAUCUAUCUAUCUAUCUAUCUAUCUAUCUAUCUAUCUAUCUAUUUAUUAUUCCAAACCAGAAAUGACAGAAAUGUCCCCAUACACUUUUCAAUUCUCUUCUCUGGCUUCUACGAAUGUCUUAACUGGGUCAGUAUUGUCGUUAACCAUCCUUUGGUUAGUGGACACUUACUAUUCUUGAAGGAUGCUGCUGGUAUCUGUUUGACACCUGGGACCCUUAGGUCAUGUGGUAGUUGAAUUUUGACUUUUUUUUGCCCCUUCAGGUUAUGGUAGUGUUCAUUUGCUGCGCCACUGACAACAUGAUAGAGGUCUCUUCUGCAUAGCCCCAUUUUUGCUUUUAGUUUGUUUGAGACAGGGUCUCACCAUAUGUCCUUGGCCAACCUGGAACUCACUCUGCAGACCAGGCUAACUUGAACCUCACAGAGCUCUACCAGCCUCUGCCUCCCAAAUGCUGGGAUGAAAGGGCUGUGCCAGCACACCUAGCUAGUUUUUCUUCAUUUGUUUUGAUUUCUUGAUUGUUUAUUUUUUUUACUUUAGGAAGACAACCAUUCUGGCAGGCAUAGAGAGACAUUUGUCACACUGUCAACGUGUAUUUCCCUGAUGAUUUUAGAUUGUUGAACAAAUGUUUCCCUCUAUCUUACAAUUAUAGCAUCUUAUUUCUCUCAUCGCCUCGUCCUUGAGAAACAGGUGAUGUUUCAAAGAUAAGUAAAACAAUUUUCACAGUGCACUGCUCUCCCCCAUUUUGGGAUCCCCUGUUCUGGGGGAUCAAACUCUUGCUUUGCCUCUUGUCGUCUCCAGCCUUGAGGUAAAGAAGCUUUCUAACGACUUUCUCCACUCCCCUCGAGACCACACUAGAAGCUAGCUUAGAAUAUGGAAGCCGAAGUUCUGGUCGACAAGCAAAAAUUUAUUCCUCUG